rnacentral:rRNA from 1 species
AAGUAUAGAGGUCCAGCCUGCCCAGUGAACCCAUUUUAACGGCCGCGGUAUCCUAACCGUGCAAAGGUAGCGUAAUCACUUGUCCCCUAAUUAGUGACCAGUAUGAACGGCCACAUGAGGGCCCAACUGUCUCUUACAACCCAUCAAUGAAACUGAACUUUCAGUUAAAAAGCUGAAAUAAUAACAUAAGACGAGAAGACCCCGCGGAACUUUAAACAAGCCGCUACAGCACACCAGACACAGCUUACAAACCCAAUGCUGCUAACACACCAAAUAGCUAGGCCUGCACUUUUAGUUGGGGCGACUACGGAGCGAAAUGAAACCUCCACUACCAGGACUAACCAUCCACUUAAGGCCAACAAGCCAAAAGCAAGCACCACCACACGACCCAGUACAACUGAGCAACGAACCAAGCUACCCCGGGGAUAACAGCGCCAUCCUCUCCAAGAGUCCCUAUCGACGAGCGGGUUUACGACCUCGAUGUUGGAUCAGGGCCCCCAGGCGGUGCAGCCGCUGCCAACGGUUCGUUUGUUCAAC